AUUGAACGCUGGCGGCAUGCCUUACACAUGCAAGUCGAACGGCAGCACGGGAGCAAUCCUGGUGGCGAGUGGCGAACGGGUGAGUAAAGUAUCGGAACGUGCCCAGUCGUGGGGGAUAACGUAGCGAAAGUUACGCUAAUACCGCAUACGAUCUAUGGAUGAAAGCGGGGGAUCGCAAGACCUCGCGCGAUUGGAGCGGCCGAUAUCAGAUUAGGUAGUCGGUGGGGUAAAGGCUCACCAAGCCGACGAUCUGUAGCUGGUCUGAGAGGACGACCAGCCACACUGGGACUGAGACACGGCCCAGACUCCUACGGGAGGCAGCAGUGGGGAAUUUUGGACAAUGGGCGAAAGCCUGAUUCAGCCAUGCCGCGUGCAGGAUGAAGGCCUUCGGGUUGUAAACUGCUUUUGUACGGAACGAAAAGGUUUGGCCUAAUAAGCUGAGCUCAUGACGGUACCGUAAGAAUAAGCACCGGCUAACUACGUGCCAGCCGCCGCGGUAA
rnacentral:rRNA from 1 species